rnacentral:rRNA from 1 species
UAUUAUUAAGAUUAUAAAAGUUGGACCUGAGUAGUAGUAGUUAAGAUCUUGAAACUUAAAGAAUUUGGCGGUGUUUUAUUCCUCUCAGAGGAAUCUGUCCCGUAAUCGAUAUUACACGUUAAAUUUUACUUAAUUUGGUUUACAGCUUGUAUACCGCCGUCAUAAGAAUAUCUUUUAAGAGAAAUUUUCUUGAUAUUAAAUGAUAGUAUGUCAGGUCAAGGUGCAGUUAAUGAUUAAGUGGAGAUGGAUUACAAUGAUGUUAAUUAUAUGAAUUUAUUUUAGUGUAAUUAAUUAAUGAAGGUGGAUUUGAUAGUAAUUUUAUUAAAAUAUAAUAAGGUGAAUUGGGCUCUAAAAUAUGUACACAUCGCCCGUCACUCUCAUUCUUUAAAUGAG